ensembl:lncRNA novel transcript
GUUCUGUUUGUUGUCUUGGAACAAUACGGUUUAGAGGUGACUGGCGGGUGAGGAGAACAUAUGCGAGUUCACCAAAGAGAAAAGCUGAAUGAGGCAAUGCCUCUUCCUGACCAUAUCUCUUACUCAGAUAACUAUAGAAUUUAUUGUCCAGUAAAGGGUAUAUUAAAAAAUCAUAUUAAAAGUCAUGCAGUGAAGUUGUCCAGGGAAAUCAAGACUUAACAGUCUCACUCUGACAAUAAUGAACAGGGGGAUUCCCUCAAGAUAGACUAGGACAUGACCCCACACUGGCAGGUAGUAGUACCAGAAAAGAACGCAUGGAAAAUCUUUACCUUAUGCUUGAGGUAGGGACCAGGCUAAAGUGAAAGCCAGACCUAAAAUUCUAUCUAAAAUAAAUCCACAAUCGAAGAAAAUAUGUGGUGUACAGGCAUAGAAUGUCUUUACUGGAUCAUUGAAAUAGUAAGGUAAAUUGAACUUUUUACAUUGUUUUCUUUUCCUCCAGUUAGGGCUUGAGGUUUGUCUCUGGAGAGUGACUGACAAUUGCAGCCCUGCCUUUCUGGGGUUCUGGUCAGGGGGUUGUGGAUGCUUAACAUGUGCCUUUCACAGGACACUUCCUUACCCCAGCAGUGGCCAGGUGUGCAUCCCACGGCCAGGCCUCCCUCUCACAGAACAUCUGUUGAGACUAGGAGAUGCCUGGUGACUGUUGCCUGACCUGUGUCCUGUGUAUUUCUGACAAGAGCCACUCUCAGAGACCCUGGCCAGGAGGAGAGUUAGGUUCCAGUGUAGGUCAGCUCAGACACAUGGAGGCCACAGAACCAAACAUG